rnacentral:rRNA from 1 species
UACGUAGGGGGCUAGCGUUGUCCGGAUUUAUUGGGCGUAAAGAGCGUGUAGGCGGCCAUGUAGGUCCGGUGUGAAAACUCGAGGCUUAACCUCGAGAUGUCAUCGGAAACCAUUUGGCUAGAGUCCGGAAGAGGAGAGUGGAAUUCCUGGUGUAGCGGUGAAAUGCGCAGAUAUCAGGAAGAACACCCGUGGCUAAGGCGGUUCUCUAGUACGGUACUGACGCUGAGACGCGAGAGCGUGGGGAGCGAACCGG